rnacentral:rRNA from 1 species
GAAUUUUGGACAAUGGGGGCAACCCUGAUCCAGCCAUCCCGCGUGUGCGAUGAAGGCCUUCGGGUUGUGAAGCACUUUUGGCAGGGAAGAAACGGCUCUGGCUAAUACCUGGCGCUGCUGACGGUACCUGCAGAAUAAGCACCGGCUAACUACCUGCCAGCCGCCGCGGUAAUACGUAGGGUGCAAGCGUUAAGCGGAAUUACUGGGCGUAAAGCGUGCGAAGGAGGUUCGGCAAGAAGGACGUGAAAUCCCAGGGCUUAACCUUGGAACUGCAUUCUUAACUGCCGGGCUAGAGUAUGUCAGAGGGGGGUAGAAUUCCGCGUGUAGCAGUGAAAUGCGUAGAGAUGCGGAGGAAUACCGAUGGCGAAGGCAGCCCCCUGGGAUAAUACUGACGCUCAUGCACGAAAGCGUGGGGAGCAAAC